CCUUGGUAGGGGCAUGCAGAAGACCUGAUGACACAAACCCUCCAAAGAGUUUCACCCUCACCACAACAGGUGGCUUCCUGCUCGGCAGCCCAUCCUGCAUCACUUCAGUGGACUUCUCUGACAUCUACUAGACCACAUUAAAUGAAUCACAGCCUUGAAACUGAACUGGAAGGACUUCCUUCAAGAUUUUUAUCUAAUUCCUGUUGGACAGUGUAAAAUGCCACUUCUUCCAGGGUUGCCUGCAUAUCAUCAAAAGGGAAAUAGUACUCAUCGAAGAUGUGCCUUUGCUAGGAACUAGGACAAGGGUGGCCUUUAUAAAUUCAUGAAGAGAAGGAGCCAGCAUAUGAACUUGCUGCCUAUCUUUAGCAAGGAGAUGCAAAUGACAUCCACAAACCUCUUCUGCUGUAUACCUGGAUGAAAGCAAGGCUAGCUGUGUGUCCUAUGGCACCAAGGACUGAAAGAUUGUAAGAAGUAAGAGGGAAAGUGAUCCAAAAAGGUGGAACACCUAAUGUACAGCCCCAAGGAAGGAGCAUACUUGGAGAAUUCAAGGAACAGAAAGAAAAACAGGAAGGCUGGAGUGAAACUGAUUAAAUAAAGCAUCGUAACAUUAGAGGUCCAUCAUAGAGGCCAAGCCAAAUACAACUAUGUUUUCAAGCAUAAGAUGGAUAGAUGUGGUAAACCACAAGAAGCAAACAGCCCUUUAGAGGUGUGGAUUGACCUUGCAGAGUUACAAGUGGAGCCAGGAGAAAUCAUGUUGAGUGGGACUUCUCAUCCUACCUAAGAGAGACUAACAGAUGGAAAGCUGGGUACAGAAGGGAGAGAAGGCAGUAACAGUCAGAUUUCAAUACGCUGAGACUGUGACGUGGGACUUUUGAGUGAGUAACAUCUGCUCCUAGAACUGAGUUGAGUGGGGAUCCUCCCACACCACCCAGGCAAGAGAACUAACAAUUGAUGACUGCUCCAAAUCAGUCGCCAGUCUACCUAAUACUUCUACCUGGUAGGUAGCCUGAUACCCACUAACAUCAGGUAGGUUCUAUAUGAUUAAUAGUUCAUAAGAUAAAUAUUAAUCAUUAGCAAUUUUCAAAGCUGAGGUACAGCUACUUCAAAAAUGAAGAAGGAAUGCAGAUGAAGAGUCUCCAGACUCUUCAAGAGACUCUCUGCAAGCAAAGUCUCCAGAGUUCUGAGGGAAAGAAGCAAACAAAGAAUCACAGCCAUUCUUUGAGGGAGCAACCUACUCAUUAAAGAAAUGCAAUCAUGAUUAUGCUGAUCAAAUGAAAAUCUCAAAAAUAGAGAGGCCAUGGGAAAAGGGCUAGUUAUGAGCACUGAAUUCAUUUACAUAUAAAACAAGGCAAAAUAAUUGUCAUAAUACUUUGUAAUGGUUAUAAACACCAAAUAAAUGUUAUAUAGAGGUGAAUCGCAUAA
rnacentral:lncRNA from 1 species